GCAGGAGCCGGAGCCGGGGCGGAGCCGGGCCGGGCCGGGGCUUGCGACGCCGGGGGUGUUGGCGUUGCUCGAUAGGGAACGUCUCCAGGUGGAAACACUCGCUUUGCAGGGUAGUGUGGCAUCCCCAGCGGUGGGAUCCCUUUCGCCUUACCCUCGGUACGGCCCUACCCUAAACAUUUAGGAUCGAGGUCUUUCCCAAACCUAACCCGUGCCCUAGUUUCUGGUGCCACCCUGUGGUCCUGCGAAAUGCUUUUACGUCGGAUCUUCAAUAACUAAAGGCUGAAUAGCGAUGGAGUAGGCGAGAUAGAACGGAGGCAUGUGUAGGUAAAUAAUUCCCGAGCAUGUUCCCAGUAGACUGAGAUGGGAGUUGGGCUCUCCUCCCAGGGAACAAAUGACACGAUGAGAAGAAAUGGCCUCAAGUUGUGCCACGAGAAGUUUAGACUGGAUACUAAGGAAAAUUUCUUCACUGAAAGAGCGGUCAGAUACUGGAACCUGCUGCCCAGGGCAGUAGUGGAGUCACCGCCACUGGAAGAGUUCAAAAGGCGUGUGGAUGUGGCACUUGGGGACAUGGUUUAGUGGUGAACACAGUGGCGCUGGGUUAAUGAUGGCCUAAGAGGGAUUUUCUAAAUGUAAUGAUUCUGUAAUUAGAAAAGAAAGAGCACUGAAGACAUCAUGUGGGUGGGUGGAAGCCUCAGGUGUGGCUGGUCAGGGCCACGAAGGUCUAUUACUGCACCGUGGACUUCAGAAGUACCUCCCAGAAGUUCUCACACCUGGAAUUGGCAGAUUCCCCUUACACCACUCUGUCCUGGUGCCUUUGAACAAGUCUUGGAGCAGACACCAGUUCAGGCAGACCACACUGUAUUGACUGUGCCUCCCUACGAGGACCAGGACUUUCUUUGAGGUCCCUCUUCAGAAGUGUGCAGGAAGUGAUCACUGGGCACAAGCUGAACAUGCUGGCUGAGAUGGCCCCAUGGUGGACCUGAGUGUACCCAUAGAGGCCUGAAUGGCCCUGACCAGCCUCACCUGAGAGCCCCACCCUCGGGGGAAGUCCCAUUCCCGCUCAGCCCAGUGCCCUCCUCCCUGCCUCAGUUACAGAAAGGUGCUUGUCUCCAGCUGUGCCUUCUCAGCUUGGCUCUGGAUGGACCUUGGCUUUUAAAUAGCUUGUCCCUUGGGCAGACCCCUACAAUGUGUAUUAUACCCCACCAACUUUAUCCUAAUUGAACAAUUAAUUUUUAAUUACAUCUUUUUAACUUCUGUUUCAUAUAGGUACUUUUUCAUAUAAAAGCCAUUAAGAAAUAACAUGCUGAGUACUAUCUGCCCCAUCUUGCACAGGAUUAAGCAUAAUUCCAGCUCUUUGUAAUACCUUUGAGCUUGCCUGGGCUACCGAGAACUAGAGGGGAAGUAAGAAGGGUAAGUGUGGACUUGUGCAGGCAUUAUAAGCAGAAACAUCAAUACUGCUGCUUACAUUUUUAGGGAUUAUGUUGAACAGAGGUGGAAAGAGGGUGAUUUCCUGCCACAAGACUGUAAAUCAUUGCACUGGCUCUCCCACCCAGGAAGCUGUUUUUUGGGUCUCUGGUGUGGCUGGUCCCCCCACUGUCCUUGCUGUUGUCUACAUGGAUUAGGUGCUGGAGCAUAUCCAGAGAAGGGAAAUGCAGCUGGCAAAGGUUUUGCAGCACAAGAUCACGAGGAGUGGCUGAGGCAGCUGUAGGGGGUCAGCCUGGAGAAAAGGAGGCUCAAGUGAGACUCUGCAACUCCCUGACAGGGGGGUGGAGCCAUGCUCUUCUCUCGGCAACAAGUGACAGGGUAAGAGGAAAUGGCCUCAAGUUUCUACCAAGGGAGGUUUAGAUUGAAUAUUAGGGAAAAUUCCUUCACUAAAAGGAUAGUCAGGCAUUGGAACAGGCUGCCCAGGGCAAUGCUAGAGUCACCAUUUCUGGAAGUGUUCAACAAAUGUGUGCAUGUGGCAGUUGGGUGUUGAGGAACCUUCCCAGUCUGACCAUUCCCAAGACACUCUGGCAGUCACUCUCCCACCAGCAGCAACUUUAACAGCUGGGACUGAAGCCCCUUUGCAGCAGCAGCAGCUCCAGUGAGCCAAGGAGUGCCCUGCGUGACUCCCUGCACUCCCCACUCUCACAGUCAGACCAGGUUUCCUCACCAGUUCGACCCCAGCUUUCCCAUGGGAGCCUCAGAUGUUUUGUUCCAUAAAGCCCUUUAUUCCUGGCACAGUAACACAGAAAGAGCUUGAGCUGGUGCCUCCAAGGAGCAGCCCCAACAAAAGACUGGGCUUUUAUCCCCUCACAGUCCAAGCUCAUGCAAGUCUCAGUUCUUCCUCCCUAGUCCUCAGCUCCUGCAGUGUCUGAGCACUUGGCUGGGCCACAGGUCCAGUGCCCUUCAUUAUGGACAAGGUCAGCAGUUUGAGCUCAAUCUGCAGCUGUCACUGCAGCUGCACCACCAGCUCCUGCACUGAAUGAAUUCCUCGACAAGGGGACGUGGUUCAGUGGUGGCCCAGGCAGUGCUGAGUUAACGACUGGACUCGAUGGUGUCAGAGGGCUUUUCCAAGCUUAGUGAUUCUAUGAUAAUUACAUGAUUAUUUCAUUUUGUGCCCGUGCUGCAGAACAGCAGUCCCAGACCCUACAAAAGGCAGCAGCAUUUGCCCUAACACCACCUCUUCCCCAUGUGUUUUUGACUGACCUAUGUCUUUUUUUUCCUCCAGUUCUCCCAGAAAGUGUUAGUUUCUAUUUUUCUCAGGGAAGACACUAAAGAAAAGCAAUGACAAUGCUGGCAAUGAUGUGCAGAACCAUACACUGAGGUGCUGAGCAUCCAGUGUAGCAAUAACCACUAUGUGGGCAUGGGUGAAGGCUGGGAAGCAGAUGGCUCUCUGGCUGUACAGGCAGUCAGGGCUGGGGUUCCUUGAUGCUUUUGGAGUCAUUCAGUCGUGCCAGGUGUCCUCAGUGCGUCUCUGGACCAAGCCUCCAAGUGGAUUGGGCUGCUGAGGCCCUGCAUGGGCCAGUUGACUUCACACCGAUACUGAAAUCGGCCGUAUAGAAACUUUGUAACACAGUUUUGAGUAUCAGAAGCAGGCAUUCUUUACUGUAGCAGGCUGGUCACUCGGGGGGAUCCUUCUUCCAUUCAAGU